rnacentral:rRNA from 1 species
GCACUAGUGAUUAGAGUUUGAUCAUGGCUCAGAUUGAACGCUGGCGGCAUGCCUUACACAUGCAAGUCGAACGGCAGCACGGGGGCAACCUGGUGGCGAGUGGCGAACGGGUGAGUAAUACAUCGGAACGUGUCCUGUCGUGGGGGAUAACCAGUCGAAAGACUGGCUAAUACCGCAUGAGAUCGAGAGAUGAAAGCAGGGGACCGCAAGGCCUUGCGCGAUUGGAGCGGCCGAUGUCGGAUUAGCUUGUUGGCGGGGUAAAAGCCCACCAAGGCGACGAUCCGUAGCUGGUUUGAGAGAACGACCAGCCACACUGGGACUGAGACACGGCCCAGACUCCUACGGGAGGCAGCAGUGGGGAAUUUUGGACAAUGGACGCAAGUCUGAUCCAGCCAUGCCGCGUGAGUGAAGAAGGCCUUCGGGUUGUAAAGCUCUUUCGGCGGGGACGAAAAGGUCUGUGUUAACACCACGGAUCCAUGACGGUACCCGCAGAAGAAGCACCGGCUAACUACGUGCCAGCAGCCGCGGUAAUACGUAGGGUGCAGGCGUUAAUCGGAAUUACUGGGCGUAAAGCGUGCGCAGGCGGUUUACUAAGACAGGUGUGAAAUCCCCGGGCUUAACCUGGGAACUGCGCUUGUAACUGGUAGGCUUGAGUGUGGCAGAGGGGGGUGGAAUUCCAGGUGUAGCAGUGAAAUGCGUAGAUAUCUGGAGGAACACCGAUGGCGAAGGCAGCCCCCUGGGCUAACACUGACGCUCAUGCACGAAAGCGUGGGGAGCAAACAGGAUUAGAUACCCUGGUAGUCCACGCCCUAAACGAUGUCAACUGGUUGUUGGAGGGCCAGCUCUUCAGUAACGAAGCUAACGCGUGAAGUUGACCAAUGU